rnacentral:lncRNA from 1 species
UGAAAUCUUAUUGGUCAAAAUAUUCUUCAGUAGAAAUUAUUUAUAAAAAUGACUUAGUCUCACACUCUCGUUUUUAUUGACUCUGACCAUACUCCUAAACCAGAAUGCUUGACUCUCGCGGUCUCAUUUUGAAUUUAAAAGUAAUUUUUGAAUAUAAAUAAAGUCUAAUUAAUCCUAAAGUUCUCUCAUUGUGUUUAGGAUUAAUGCCUAGUUUCAG